GGCUCAGGAUGAACGCUAGCUACAGGCUUAACACAUGCAAGUCAGGGGCAGCAUGGGAUAGCUUGCUAUCCAGAUGGCGACCGGCGCACGGGUGAGUAACGCGUAUCCAACCUUCCCCAUAGUAGGGCACAGCCCGGCGAAAGUCGGAUUGGAUUCCCUAUGUUGUCUAGAGAGGACAUCUGACCUGGACGAAAGAUUCAUCGCUAUGGGAUGGGGAUGCGUCUGAUUAGGUUGCAGGCGGGGUAACGGCCCACCUGGCCGACGAUCAGUAGGGGUUCUGAGAGGAAGGUCCCCCACAUUGGAACUGAGACACGGUCCAAACUCCUACGGGAGGCAGCAGUGAGGAAUAUUGGUCAAUGGGACGGAAGUCUGAACCAGCCAAGUAGCGUGCAGGGUAAUGACGGCCCUAUGGGUUGUAAACUGCUUUUAUCAGGGGAUAAAGUGAGGUAUGUAUACCUUUUUGCAUGUACCUGAUGAAUAAGGACCGGCUAAUUCCGUGCCAGCCGCAGC
rnacentral:rRNA from 1 species